GAGUUUGAUCAUGGCUCAGAUUGAACGCUGGCGGCAGGCCUAACACAUGCAAGUCGAGCGGAUGAAGGGAGCUUGCUCCUGGAUUCAGCGGCGGACGGGUGAGUAAUGCCUAGGAAUCUGCCUGGUAGUGGGGGAGUAACGUCCGGAACGGGACGGCUAAUAACCGCAUACGUCCUGAGGGAGGAAAGUAGGGGGAGUCUUCGGUACCUCACGCUAUCAGAUGAGCCUAGGUCGGAUUAGCUAGUUGG
rnacentral:rRNA from 1 species